UACGGAAGGGGCAAGCGUUGUUCGGAAUCAUUGGGCGUAAAGGGCGCGUAGGUGGUUCUGUAUGUCUACCGUGAAAGCAUACAGCCCAACUGUAUUUUGUCGGUAGAAACUGCAGGACUUGAGGCUGGGAGGGGCUGGUGGAAUUCCCUGUGUAGCGGUGAAAUGCGUAGAGAUGGGGGAGAACACUCGUGGCGAAGGCGGUUCUCUGGGCAUGUCCUGACGCUGAGGAGCGAAAGUGUGGGGAGGCGAACAGG
rnacentral:rRNA from 1 species